AGCCGAUGAUGAAACAAACGGUAUUUGCACAACGUAUGACAGUUCAUGAUUGCAUUAAUACCUACUGCCUUCCUUCUGAGGCC